GUUGAGAUUUAGGAUAAAUUGGAGGUGAAAUGACGAAAAUACCCUCUUUUAUUUUCCUUCCUCUUUUCUUCUUUUUCCUUUUCUUCUUUUUCCUUUUCUUCAACCCGAAGACAGAAGGCCGUUCAAAAGAAAAACGUAAACCAGAGCAUUUGAACUCUCCCGCGUCUGCAGUUACCCCCUUCAACUCUCUCCCGCCUCUGGUGAACGUUUUUCUCUUCCGUCCAUUUCUUCUCCACUUCCAUCCAUUUCUUCUCCACGACUCUCCGCUAUAUUUUCCGAUUUCAACUUGUUCACGGAACGUCUCCAUUUCUUCUGCACGGGUCUCUGUUUUACUUUCGACUUCAUCUCCGGCGGACGCUUCUCCACUUCCAUCCAUUUCGAUUUCAGGUUUGUUUUCACCGGACCUCUCCAUUUCUUAUCCACUCCUCUACAUUGGCAGUGCCGUAUCCAUCAUCUUUGAAGUCAAGUUUCAGUAUGGCUUCGACAUCAACUAACGGUCCCAUGUACAAGAUUGACCCUGCUCAUCAUUUUCAGUCUAUAGUAAGUAGUUUAUCACAUUUAGAAAGCAGGUUGACUAUGUUGUCGGAUCAAAACAAGACUGUCAAGAUCCUUGGGUGAAUGUUGAUUACAUUUACUCUCCAUUCAAUAUCCAUGGCAAUCAUUGGAUUCUAUUAUGCUUGGACUUGGUACGUUGUCAAGUUAAGGUAUGGGAUUCGCUUCCGUCGCUGACGAGUGCCGAAGAUAUGAGAAGCAUAUUAGAGCCAAUUCAAGAGAUGGUGCCAAAUUUGCUCGAUGCUACUGGAUUCUUUGUUAGGAGAGGCGGAUCAUCAACACAUAAGGAACCUUGGCCACUUGUCAUUGUCGACUCCAUUCCACUUCAACGCAACAAUAGUGAUUGUGGUGUAUUUACAAUUAAGUAUUUCGAAUAUGAAGCUUCUGGUUUAGAUGUAGCUACAUUAUGUCAAGAAAACAUGUCAUAUUUUAGAAAACAAUUGGCAUUUCAAUUAUGGACCAACAAUCCCAUGUAUUGACUUUUA